rnacentral:lncRNA from 1 species
UGUGUGGUCUGGAUGACAACAGUGGGUGCCUUGCUUGCAAACUUAUUUUCUAGCAGAGAAGAACGAAACUGAAAAAGAUCACCUGUUCCCACACUAUCUUCUAAAAAUGGUGAAUGUUCCUGUGAUCUUUGUUCAACCCACUGGAUUGGAUUUGGAAAUAGCUCUUAUCAUCUUUCCAAUAAAUCCAAAACCUGGGCGGAGAGCCAUGCUGCCUGUGCAGAGCUGAAUUCCCACCUUCUAAAGAUUGGUAUCAAGGAAGAGCUGGUAGGGCAGACACUUCUGUUUUUUUUGUUAUACUGUAACUAUAUCUGGUUUCAAAGCAUUAGUGAUUGACACCAUAAUUUGGGAAAACUGAAGGUUCUCAAAAGUGUAUGAUAUUUUCUUACUUUGACUCAAUUUUCUUAGGGAGAAACUCCACUUUUUGAACAUUUAAUGCUAGAAGAAAACCACAUUAACAAAUGAGAUACCUUGAGAAAAAAUCUUAUUAAUACUAAGUGGAUGUGUGCAAGCCCUUG